CGCGUAGGUGGCUCGUGAAGCGUGCGGUGAAAGUCCGAGGCUCAACCUCGGAUCGGCCGUGCGGACUCGCGGGCUCGAGCGUUGUAGAGGCGGGUGGAAUUCCGGGUGUAGCGGUGGAAUGCGUAGAGAUCCGGAAGAACACCGGUGGCGAAGGCGGCCCGCUGGGCAACUGCUGACACUGAGGCGCGACAGCGUGGGGAGCAAACAGGAUUAGAUACCCUGGUAGUCCACGCCGUAAACGAUGGGCACUAGGUGCUUCGGGGAGCGACCCUCGGAGUGCCGGCGCUAACGCAUUAAGUGCCCCGCCUGGGGAGUACGGCCGCAAGGCUGAA
rnacentral:rRNA from 1 species